rnacentral:lncRNA from 1 species
UUUCAAAUUUUGAAAAGUUUCAAUAAGAAAUAUUCAAUUGCACAGUAUUGUGCAAUAGAUGUGUUAGAUCUUGAACCACAUUAAUUUUGUGGCAAAAACCUAUAUUAUGUCAAAAAUUUGAUCACAAUCAAAAUUCAGACGGUAUCAAGCUUGAAUAUUGUGACCAAAUUUGCCCCAACUGUUCAGGGUUCGACCACUGGGGUCGUAUAAAGCUGCGCCCUGCGGAGCACCUGGUUACAUAAAUACUAACUUUGG